AUUGGCAGCUGGAAACUUAGUUCUUAAACAUAGCAGUUCUCUUGGGCAUCUACUCUGGUUAGUCCAUCAAAAACUGUCUUAACUAACAAAAAGACACAGUAUGGCUUAGAGAACAGGAAUUUGAAAUUGAACAGAUCCUCCUGGCUAAAGAAUUCUGGACAAAUCAUUCUAUACCACAAGCAAAUAAGUAAAAGUUCAAUCAUCCGUGCCACCCG
rnacentral:lncRNA from 1 species